GCUGAACGCUGACAGAAUGCUUAACACAUGCAAGUCAACUGUGGCGGACGGGUGAGUAACGCGUAAAGAACUUGCCUCACAGAUAGGGACAAAAUUUGGAAACGAAUGCUAAUACCUGAUACUGUGAGAGAGCUUUGCGUCCCAUUAGCUAGUUGUAGAGGUAACGGCUCACCAAGGCGAUGAUGGGUAGCCGGCCUGAGAGGUUGAUCGGCCACAAGGGGCCUGAGACACGGCCCUGAAGACUAAGGGAGGAAGCAGUGGGGAAUAUUGGACAAUGGACAAAAUGAUGAUCCAGCAAGUCUGUGUUAACGAUGAAGUUAUCGGAAUGUAAAGUGCUUUCAGUUGGGAAGCGGUACCAACAGAAGCAGUGACGGCUAAAUACGUGCCAGCCGCCGCGGUAAUAC
rnacentral:rRNA from 1 species